CCUGUAUUCUACAGUUCAAAAGCUUUCCUCGAUGCUAUUAAAAAUUCAAAAGCUAACUUUGGCGAUAAUUGUUGUAACCUAAAAGCUUAAGUUUUACCUUCAAACGCAAGCAGUCAUCAUCAUGAUGCACUAUUCCGCCGAAUCCAAACCGGCGAUGAUAAAGGUGUAGACCCUGGUAGAUGCAAAGUUUUUUGACGAAUGCAACAACUCGGCCCAACGAUGCCCCGAAGGCAGCCGAGCACACUUUAGCCAC
rnacentral:lncRNA from 1 species